UGCAAGUCGAGCGGUAGAGAGAAGCUUGCUUCUCUUGAGAGCGGCGGACGGGUGAGUAAUGCCUAGGAAUCUGCCUGGUAGUGGGGGAUAACGUUCGGAAACGGACGCUAAUACCGCAUACGUCCUACGGGAGAAAGCAGGGGACCUUCGGGCCUUGCGCUAUCAGAUGAGCCUAGGUCGGAUUAGCUAGUUGGUGAGGUAAUGGCUCACCAAGGCGACGAUCCGUAACUGGUCUGAGAGGAUGAUCAGUCACACUGGAACUGAGACACGGUCCAGACUCCUACGGGAGGCAGCAGUGGGGAAUAUUGGACAAUGGGCGAAAGCCUGAUCCAGCCAUGCCGCGUGUGUGAAGAAGGUCUUCGGAUUGUAAAGCACUUUAAGUUGGGAGGAAGGGUUGUAGAUUAAUACUCUGCAAUUUUGACGUUACCGACAGAAUAAGCACCGGCUAACUCUGUGCCAGCAGCCGCGGUAAUACAGAGGGUGCAAGCGUUAAUCGGAAUUACUGGGCGUAAAGCGCGCGUAGGUGGUUUGUUAAGUUGGAUGUGAAAUCCCCGGGCUCAACCUGGGAACUGCAUUCAAAACUGACUGACUAGAGUAUGGUAGAGGGUGGUGGAAUUUCCUGUGUAGCGGUGAAAUGCGUAGAUAUAGGAAGGAACACCAGUGGCGAAGGCGACCACCUGGACUAAUACUGACACUGAGGUGCGAAAGCGUGGGGAGCAAACAGGAUGAGAUACCCUGGUAGUCCGCGGCGUAUACGAUGUCCACUAGCCGUUGGAAGCCUUGAGGUUUUUCUGGCGCCCCUAACGCAUUAAGUUGACCGCCUGGUGAGAACGGCCGCCC
rnacentral:rRNA from 1 species